rnacentral:rRNA from 1 species
GCUCAGGAUGAACGCUGGCGGCGUGCUUAACACAUGCAAGUCGAACGAAGCACUUUGAUCGAUUUCUUCGGAUUGAAAUUUUAGUGACUGAGUGGCGGACGGGUGAGUAACGCGUGGGUAACCUGCCUCACACAGGGGGAUAACAGUUGGAAACGGCUGCUAAUACCGCAUAAGCGCACAGUAUCGCAUGGUACAGUGUGAAAAACUCCGGUGGUGUGAGAUGGACCCGCGUCUGAUUAGCUAGUUGGCAGGGCAACGGCCUACCAAGGCGACGAUCAGUAGCCGACCUGAGAGGGUGACCGGCCACAUUGGGACUGAGACACGGCCCAAACUCCUACGGGAGGCAGCAGUA